CUUUUAGUUUCCGGUAUCUCUGCAAUGGCGGCUCUGGACUCCCUGUCGCUGUUCACUAGCCUCGGCCUGAGCGAGCAGAAGGCCCGCGAGACGCUCAAGAACUCGGCUCUGAGCGCGCAGCUGCGCGAGGCCGCUACUCAGGCUCAGCAGACCCUGGGUUCCACCAUUGACAAAGCUACCGGGACCCUGUUAUAUGGCUUGGCCUCCCGACUCAGGGAUACCCGGCGUCUCUCCUUCCUUGUAAGCUACAUAGCCAGUAAGAAGAUCCACACUGAGCCCCAGCUAAGCGGGUGGUGGUGCCAGGGCUUAACUUUUCAGGAGGCCAGACUAUCCUUGGAGUUUCAUGAGAUUAGGACCCUGCCUGUCCACUUCUUGGAGCAAAGAUGCCACAAACUCACGGGCUCUUUCUUCUCAGCUGCCCUUGAGUAUGUGCGGAGUCACCCCUUGGACCCCGUCGACACUGUGGACUUCGAGCGGGAAUGUGGCGUGGGUGUCAUUGUGACCCCAGAGCAGAUUGAGGAGGCUGUGGAGGCUGCUAUUAACAGGCACCGGCCCCAGCUCCUGGUGGAACGUUACCAUUUCAACAUGGGGCUGCUGAUGGGUGAGCAGGGCCUGGAACGGGGCUAUAUUGUUCUCUCUGGUCAUGCCUUUUCUUCUGGGCACGAGUGAGAAGGAGGUGGGGGAAGGAACAGGAGUGACUUAAAGUGGUCUGGCUGGGCUCAGGCUCUGGUUCUCGUGGUCAGCCAGGACCUUU
rnacentral:sRNA from 1 species